UGACUUGGAGACCGACUGAGUGCUAUGAUGAGCUGAUUUUUUUAAUAUAUGACUUGGUGCAUUAUUUUUUAUUCACACGAGAUUUCCUUUACUUCCUGUCUUCUAACUUUCCCUUUAAUUAAUUAUUUUUACCCAUAAACAAUGGUGUAUCAACCUGAACUUUUAUAUAGGUGUGGGAAAGAGGUCCAGUAAUCCAUUGUCCAAGUGAUCCAUCCGUAUCCAGAUUUAUCCAGUUAGUCCUAUUAAGGGGAGGCAAAGUGAUCUAUCAGAAAUAGUCUGAAGAAGAUAUCCAUUAGUUGUUCUAUUCCAUCCAUAUCCAAGAUUCUAAGCCUCUCCACUUACUAUGACAAAAUUUAAUAGCUUUGAUCAAAUUUUGGUUCAUAGAUGGUUAAUGAACAAACAAUAUAUAAUCAUAUCCAUUGGGUUUAAUUAGUUCAUGAUAUCCAUUGGAUACUAAAUAUUUAUCUAUUCAUUCUAAUGGCCGAUUUCGAAAUAAGUUUUAGAAGUAUAGGCGUAGUUACUUGUAUAGGUUAUUAGUGGGCCUCCAAUAAUUUUCUACAAGCAAAAGGAGAAAGGGUUUAGGGACAGAGAUGGUAUUGGGAAUUUGGAUAGAGGAGUAAUUGACGGAUCUAAACAAAAAGGACAGCUGGCAUGAGGAGAUUGUGGAUGGGGGAGUUGAGAUCAUGCGUGGAAACGAGAUUAUGAAUUGUAAAUUGGGUCAUGGGGUUGUCAUUGAACAAUCUACGAGGAGUGGGGAUGGCUGAUGCCAUUGGGACAGGGAGAGUACUUUGUUUUCUGUGUAUUCUCCUUGCAAUCCUUAUCAUUUUGUGUUUCUCUUUUCUGUCUUCUGUGUCUGGGAGCUUGCUCCUUGAGUAUUUUACCCAAUCAUAUUCAAUGAAAUACUCCAGUUCCACGCCACAUACAUAAAGGGGGAAAAUGUUUCAGCUGGAAGAGACAAAAGAACUAUUACGUAUUUUUCAUGGAAACAGUUGUAAACAUAAUUGUAAUACUAGCUGUUAUUAACGGUUAAAAAUGGAUCUAUCAUAGAGUUGUAAUUUGUUAACGCUACACACGCACGUGCACACACACACAGAAGCUGUCUUUCUUUUGUCUCUUUCCGUAAUAUAUAUUGAUUGCUUUAUUUGUCUUCAUCCUUUUUCUUUAAUGUUAUGGGCUGACCGUUAAUAAAUGCUUUGUUCGGUAUCUUUGGUGACUGUUGAAUGGGGUCUAGAACUUAGGAUUCAUUACUGUGUCUUUAUUAGAGUAGUUCUUUUUGACUAACUUGAUGGCUUUGGGAAAAGGAAAGAAACCAAAUCUUUAUGGCGGUACAGUAUGAUAUUGUUUGGUGUAUUUAUUUGGAUCAUAAUUCUUAUAUUGUUUAAGUAAAGCUUGUGUUUUUUUACGGAGAUUUUUGUAUCAAACAUAUUUAUAGUUUGGAAAGAUUUGCUCUGCUGAUAGUUUCUCUAUUCUUUUGAUAGUAGUUAUUUUUACAAUGAUAUGAUAGUUCGUCUAUGGUUCUUGGGAAUUUAAUAUAGAAACUGAGUAAAUUUUGGAGAUCAGUUAACAUUUAAUGAGAGAAAAUAAGGUUUAGAUAUAAAUUUUAAACGCAUAGGUUGCUUAAUGGAAAAAAAAA